GAUGAAGAACGUAGCGAAAUGCGAUAAGUAAAGUGAAUUGCAGAAUUCAGUGAAUCAUCGAAUCUUUGAACGCACAUUGCGCCCGCUAGUAUUCUGGCGGGCAUGCCUGUCCGAGCGUCAUUUCAACCCUCAAGCCCCCGGGCUUGGUGUUGGGGAUCGGCGAGCCUCCGCGCCCGCCGUCCCCUAAAUCUAGUGGCGGUCUCGCUGUAGCUUCCUCUGCGUAGUAGCACACCUCGCACUGGGAAACAGCGCGGCCACGCCGUUAAACCCCCAACUUCUGAACGUUUGACCUCGGAUCAGGUAGGAAUACCCGCUGAACUUAAGCAUAUCAAUAAGCGGAGGA
rnacentral:misc_RNA from 1 species